GAAGUCCAAAAUCAAGGUACUGGCAGGGU
rnacentral:piRNA from 1 species